UUUGUUAUACAUGUUUUGUAUUUGCAUAUGUUGUCUGGUGUGAAAGAUGGUGUAAGGACCUUUAAUGAAUCUGCCUGUGUAUGUGACAUGUACUUACCUGUGUGUGCAUGUGAGUGAGUGAGUGAGUUAAGACACCGGACUAAGGACGGGCCAUAUGAUUGGUUGGGACGGAAGCCUCAGCUUACUUGUGGAAAUGCUUUGGCCAACUUGGGCACUCCACUCCUGACCAGCUGACUGUACAUGAAGUUUGAAUUUGGAAAAAGUCAAAAGUCUUUAGCUGUGUAAAGCUCCUGGUUGGACUUCAAAUUAUUAUACUUGUCAUGGAGAGGAAUUGAGGGAAACCUCCACACCAUAGCUGUGGGGGUUUUUAUAGUGGAUUAAUAAAUGUAUUUAAAGACUAAACUGAAUCUGAUUUGUGAUUGCAAACCCCGGUUACAAUAUCAC